AGGCCAAUGGUACACCAAUUUUGUUUUCGCUUCGGUUGCUAAAAGGAUUCAUCAUCAACCUUUUACAACCAUCAAGUACCUCUUCCAAAAGAGGUAUGGAUAUUAAUCAUUCAUGAGGACUUCUGUAUAAGCCAAGGUAUUUUGCAAAGUCAACACAGAAGCACAUUUCCUAUCAGAUAAUCUAAGAAGAAAAGGCAGCUAACAUCCAGUAAAGGCCUAGAUAGCAGGAUUAGGAGCCCUUCUCGCAAAAUAUAGGCAACAACUUUAACAAAAAUCUGAGAAGAGAAUGCACAAGGUAACUGACUUUUUUUGGAUAGGUAGGUAACUAAAAGGAGACAUCACAAACAUAUGAAGCUAACUGCACGGUCCAAAUAAUAGCAUGCGGCUACAGUGACCGGACAUGCUUAAUCAAG
rnacentral:lncRNA from 1 species